CAGUAACGUCCGGAUGCAGGUCCCCUACAUAGAGGGAGGCCAUAGGAUAGCUAGGCGCGCUAGGAUUCAUGUCAGACGACGCUUUUUUUUUCUUUAACCGUUUACGGACAGAAAUAAUCUGAGUAAAUUAAGGGCGUUCACUUUCUCUCUUUGGUAGCUUCACAAGAACGCACACAUAUACGCUAACCGCUAGCAACGUGGGCUACUUAGCCUGACUAGCAAAAUGUCGAAACGUGGCCUACCCGGUAUGGCUCACUCAAUUCACAAUUUAAUUGAGGCCCGUUCAGUCACCUAGAAACCUAAGCUAGAUUUAAA